ACGCACGCUGGCGGCGUGCUUAACACAUGCAAGUCGAACGGAAAGGCCCUGCUUUUGUGGGGUGCUCGAGUGGCGAACGGGUGAGUAACACGUGAGUAACCUGCCCUUGACUUUGGGAUAACUUCAGGAAACUGGGGCUAAUACCGGAUAGGAGCUCCUGCUGCAUGGUGGGGGUUGGAAAGUUUCGGCGGUUGGGGAUGGACUCGCGGCUUAUCAGCUUGUUGGUGGGGUAGUGGCUUACCAAGGCUUUGACGGGUAGCCGGCCUGAGAGGGUGACCGGCCACAUUGGGACUGAGAUACGGCCCAGACCCCUACGGGAGGCAGCAGUGGGGAAUAUUGCACAAUGGGCGGAAGCCUGAUGCAGCAACGCCGCGUGCGGGAUGACGGCCUUCGGGUUGUAAACCGCUUUCGCCUGUGACGAAGCGUGAGUGACGGUAAUGGGUAAAGAAGCACCGGCUAACUACGUG
rnacentral:rRNA from 1 species